rnacentral:rRNA from 1 species
ACCGUGAAAAAAUUAGAGUGUUCAAAGCAGGCAGAUUCAAUUUUCUGCCACCGAAUACAUUAGCAUGGGAUAAUGGAAUAGGACCCUGUCCUCCUAUUUUCAGUUGGUUUUGGCAGCGCGAGGACUAGGGUAAUGAUUAAUAGGGAUAGUUGGGGGCAUUAAUAUUUAAUUGUCAGAGGUGAAAUUCUUGGAUUUAUGAAAGAUUAACUUCUGCGAAAGCAUCUGCCAAGGAUGUUUUCAUUAAUCAAGAACGAAAGUUAGGGGAUCGAAGACGAUCAGAUACCGUCGUAGUCUUAACCAUAAACGAUGCCGACCAGCGAUUAGGAGACGUUGAAUACAAAACACCACCAUCGGCGCGGUCGUCCUUGGCGCGUUCGUGUUCACGCACGAGCGCGCGAGGGCGGUUUAGCCCGGUGGCACCGGUGAAUGACUCCCUAGCAGC